rnacentral:ncRNA from 1 species
AAAAAAGCACAGAUGGGAAAGAGUAACAUAGGGAAAACAGACAGAGAGCUGCCGGCAGGUGAGAGGCGCGUGGGGAACUUAUGUGAAUACCUCCCGGAGCUCUGCACCGAACACCUCAGAGAUAUUGUAAGGUAAGUAGGCUGCAGCGGAGUGGCAUCCGUUAACAUGCUUAAGUAACAGAGAGAACCGUUGUUUAUCAUAACAAUGGCAUGGUUUGUUACUUAUUGAGGCAGAGAAUGCGAGUUUUCUGCGAAUUUAGGUGGUAUCGCGGGACCCGGUUCUCGUCCUAAAU